ACAUAUGUCAAUCUUGAAGUGGUCUGAGUUGUCAUAAGGUUGUUAUAAGUGUAGUGAUAUGUGUCAAGAUUAGAGUUGUUAAGGUAGUUAUAAGGAAUAAGUUGGUUAAAGAGUAAUACAGUAAAUGUAUCAUGUAUUGGUUACUAAAUAACCAAAGUUCUCAAGGCAUAUUGUAUUAAGGUGUAAUAAUUUCAUUUCAAAGAUAUCAAAAACUCUCUUAUCUCCCGCUCAUUAUUUUCAGCUUCUUCUUUCUCUCAAGCUUUUCAGUUCAAAGUUUUAGUAUAGUUAAUAUGAUUUCAUCGUCGGUGAAGGAUAGCUACUGUUUCUGAUCCUUGGAGUAUUCCGCUAUACAAUUCCGCUUCUGGGGUCUUCGAUCUUGGAUGAGCUUUCAGUUGUUCAGUUUCUACAAAAAGGGGUUUUCAGAUGAUUUCUCGACAAGUGUGAGAUUGAAAAGCGAAGCAGUUUUCAGGACAAGAAGACAAUUGAGGUCCUGUAACAAGGAAAGGGUAGGCCUAAAACACUGUUUCAAAUUCCAGUAGUCAAGAGUUCAAAAGGAAUGCAAUCUAUGGUUCAAAGUUCAGUUGCUUAUCUUGGACAAAUGGUAAAAUCAAGUCUACGACAUCAAAGAUUAGGCCAUCCAACUAAUGAAAUAAUGUCUGUCAUGUUGAAGCAAUCUUGGUUAGACAAUCAACAUAGUAUGUGUACUCAAUGUAUCAAAGGGAAGAUGUCUAGGGUUCCUUUUCCUUCUAGGAUUGAUAGGUGUUCUUUACCUUUUGAGAAGGUUCAUGCUGAUAUAUUGGGACCAUCUCCUGUAAAGUCUCUAGAAGGACACAUAUACUAUAUAUGUAACCAUUGUUGAUGAAUAUACAAGAUAUGUUUGGACA